GNAGGCUANUGCUAUCGGGGUUCGAUUAAGCCNUGCGAGUUAAAUGUUNUUCGUGAACAUAGCGAACUGCUCAGUAACACGUGGAUAACCUACCCUUNAGGACCGGAAUAACCCCGGGAAACUGGGGAUAAUACCGGAUAAGCCAUAGACGCUGGAAUGCCCUAUGGUUCAAAGCUCCGGCGCCUAAGGAUGGAUNUGCGGUCUAUCAGGUUGUAGUGGGUGUAACGUACCUACUAGCCGACGACGGAUACGGGUUGUGAGAGCAAGAGCCCGGAGAUGGAUUCUGAGACACGAAUCCAGGCCCUACGGGGUGCAGCAGGCGCGAACACUUUACAAUGCGGGAAACCGCGAUAAGGGAACCCCGAGUGCCAGCAUCAAAUGUUGGCUGUCCAGAUGAUUAAAAAUCAUUUGUUAGCAAGGGCCGGGCAAGACCGGUGCCAGCCGCCGCGGUAACACCGGCGGCCCGAGUGGUAGCCGUUUUUAUUGGGUCUAAAGGGUCCGUAGCCGGCCUGAUAAGUCCUUUGGGAAAUCUGGCAGCUUAACUGUCAGGCUUCUAAGGGAUACUGUCAGGCUUGGGACCGGAAGAGGUAAGGGGUACUCCAGGGGUAGGAGUGAAAUCUUGUAAUCCCUGGGGGACCAUCUGUGGCGAAGGCGCCUUACCAGAACGGGUCCGACGGUGAGGGACGAAAGCUAGGGGAGCAAACCGGAUUAGAUACCCGGGUAGUCCUAGCUGUAAACGAUGCUCGCUAGGUGUCAGACACGGUGCGACCGUGUUUGGUGCCGCAGGGAAGCCGUUAAGCGAGCCACCUGGGAAGUACGGUCGCAAGGCUGAAACUUAAAGGAAUUGGCGGG
rnacentral:rRNA from 1 species